UGACUUUGUAAGAGCUUUUCAAAGUCAAGAUUUGUUUAGAAUUUGGUUAAGAUUUGUUUAGAGUUUGAAUAGGAUUUGUUUAGGAUUUGAAUAGGAUUUAUUUAGAAUUUGAUUGGAAUUUGGUUAGGAUUUGUUUAGGAUUUGACUAAGAUUUAUUUAGAAUUUGAUUGGAAUUUGGUUAGGAUUUGUUUAUGAUUUGAUUAGGAUUUAUUUAGGAUUUAUUUAGGAUUUGUUUAGGAUUUGGUUAGAAUUUAUUUAGGAUUUGUUUAGGAUUUGUUUAGGAUUUGUUUAGGAUUUGUUUAGGGUUUGGUUAGGAUUUAUUUAGGAUUUUUUCAGAAUUUAUUUAGGAUUUGAUUAGGAUUUGAUUAGGAUUUGACUAAGAUUUGAUUAAGAUUUGAUUAAGAUUUUGAUUAGGAUUUUUUAGGAUUUCACAAGUAUUUUAUUAGGUUUUAAUUAAAAUUUCUAUUUUAAUAUUUUAUUAAGAUUUCUAUUUUAGUAUAUUUUUAAAUUUUAUAUUAUUUCUUUAUGAUUUCUUUAAAGAU
rnacentral:lncRNA from 1 species